UUCCCUGCGUAGUGCGUGUAGACUGAAAUUUUAUUACCAACAAAUUUCAUAAGGGAGUCGGUUUUCUGUUGUGGCGUGUAAGCUUAUCUAAGAAUAAGAAACCCAGUAGCAAUAGAUAUGACACCCACCUGUUUUAUAACAGGUAUAAAAAUUUCUUCAUCUUACGGCUAACUGUGGGGAU
rnacentral:other from 1 species